UGCGGACGCAGUCUGCUGCGGGGGUUUCUUGGCAAAUUAGCCAACACAUCAGGGUCUCGAGUAUGCAAAUAAUGGAAGACUGACAUGGAAGUAGUCUAUGUUGUAACCAUCCUUGCGACAGAGCCCACCUGACUUGCUGUGUCCCUGGAUCCGCAAUACAUUCUAAAUGCUGGAGACAGUAGAGGUCACAUCUCCUAACUACAGUGUAAUGACAGUCAAAAUAAAAAUUCAGGAAUAAAUUGGAACAAGAAGACUCGCUUCCUGGGAACUUAAAACAGUCAUCUCAUGGAUAAAAGAGAAAAACCAAAUCAGCAGUGACACAAUAUUUAGAAAAGAACAAAAAAGAAAAAGUUACAUGCUAGAGCUUAUUAGAUGUAGCUUGGACUAUACUGAGAAAAUAAUUCCACAGUUUAAAAACUGUUAAAGGAAAUUAAGAAAUCACUUGAAAUGAAAGACAAACAAACCCAAGGAAAGCAGAAGUAAGGACUACAGAUAACAGCAGAAAUAAUGAAUUCAAAGAUGGAAACAAGUGAAUUGAUAAAUGAAGCCUGAGAGCUGACUCUAGAAAAAUCGAAUAGAUAAUCUACUAACUUGUUAACCAAGAAGAAAUGUGCUGGACCCUCAUAAACAUCUUGUAUCCUGACUUUGUCUCAACUCCUGCUUCUGAAAAACCCAACCCAUGACAGGCGGGUCUCUCUCCAGCUCCCAACCCACGACAGGCGGGUCUCUCUCCAGCUGCCAUUAGCUACUCCGGCAGCCCCUUGCCUUUCAGGACUGGGGUGGUAACUCCCAGCUGUCACCAGCCCCAAGAUACUGUGGAGGGUCAUCUCAGCGAUUCCCAGCACAGGCUGCUGGCUGACAGUGGCACAGUUCAGGUCGUCCAUUAGCUUUCUCUGCACACCACGAUCCUGAGACAAGCUUGGCUCGGGGGUCCCACAGAACUGGACAGCCUGUUGGAAACGGGCUCCCGGGGAUCGUACACU
rnacentral:lncRNA from 10 species